AGAGUUUGAUCCUGGCUCAGAGCGAACGCUGGCGGCGUGCUUAACACAUGCAAGUCGAACGCGCAGCAUUCUGUAGCAAUACAGGGUGUGGGCGCGUGGCGAACGGGUGCGUAACACGUGGAUAACCUUCCUUCAGGUGGGGAAUAACCCAGUGAAAAUUGGGCUAAUACCGCAUAACAUCGCGAUGGCACAUGCUGUUGCGUUCAAAGGCGCAAGUCGCCAGAAGAGGGAUCCGCGGCCGAUUAGCUUGUUGGCGGGGUAACGGCCCACCAAGGCUUUGAUCGGUAGCCGGACUGAGAGGUUGGCCGGCCACACUGGAACUGAGACACGGUCCAGACUCCUACGGGAGGCAGCAGUGGGGAAUCUUGCACAAUGGACGAAAGUCUGAUGCAGCAACGCCGCGUGGGGGAUGAAGCUUCUCGGAGUGUAAACCCCUUUCGACCCGGACGAAUGCCCGCAAGGGCUUGACGGUACGGGUAUAAGAAGCCCCGGCUAACUACGUGCCAGCAGCCGCGGUAAUACGUAGGGGGCCAGCGUUGCUCGGAAUUACUGGGCGUAAAGGGUCCGUAGGCGGUGCGGCAAGUCGAUAGUGAAAUCUCUGGGCUUAACUCAGAGGCUGCUAACGAAACUGCCGUGCUAGAGUGUGAGAGAGGCGAGUGGAAUUACGGGUGUAGCGGUGAAAUGCGUAGAUAUCCGUAGGAACAUCCGAGGCGAAAGCGGCUCGCUGGAUCACAACUGACGCUGAGGGACGAAAGCUAGGGGAGCAAACAGGAUUAGAUACCCUGGUAGUCCUAGCCCUAAACCAUCACGACUUGGGGUUUGCCCUGUACGGGGCAAGUCCCGUAGCUAACGCGUUAAGUCCUGCGCCUGGGGAGUACGGUCGCAAGGCUGAAACUCAAAGGAAUUGACGGGGGCCCGCACAAGCGGUGGAACAUGUGGUUCAAUUCGACGCAACGCGAAGAACCUUACCUGGGCUUGAACCGCACAGGACCAGC
rnacentral:rRNA from 1 species